UCUCCAAUUGACAGUGCAUACUAAACUUGAAUGACGCAAAGAUUACCAUGACCUCCACUCAAAGAUGACUUACAAAAUUCUGAAACAUUCCAUAUUUUA
rnacentral:snRNA from 1 species